rnacentral:rRNA from 1 species
CCUACGGGAGACAGCAGUGGGGGAUAUUGCACAAUGGGGGAAACCCUGAUGCAGCGACGCCGCGUGAGUGAAGAAGUAUUUCGGUAUGUAAAGCUCUAUCAGCAGGGAAGAAAAAAGACGGUACCUGACUAAGAAGCCCCGGCUAACUACGUGCCAGCAGCCGCGGUAAUACGUAGGGGGCAAGCGUGAUCCGGAUGUACUGGGUGUAAAGGGAGCGUAGACGGCAAUACAAGUCGGAAGUGAAAUACCCGGGCUCAACCUGGGAAUUGCUUUGGAAACUGUAGGGCUGGAGUGCUGGAGAGGUAGGCGGAACGCGUGGGGUAGCGGUGAAAUGCGAAGAUAUUAAGAGGAA